rnacentral:rRNA from 1 species
GACGAACGCUGGCGGCGUGCUUAACACAUGCAAGUCGAACGGAAAGGCCCUGCUUUUGUGGGGUGCUCGAGUGGCGAACGGGUGAGUAACACGUGAGUAACCUGCCCUUGACUUUGGGAUAACUUCAGGAAACUGGGGCUAAUACCGGAUAGGAGCUCCUGCUGCAUGGUGGGGGUUGGAAAGUUUCGGCGGUUGGGGAUGGACUCGCGGCUUAUCAGCUUGUUGGUGGGGUAGUGGCUUACCAAGGCUUUGACGGGUAGCCGGCCUGAGAGGGUGACCGGCCACAUUGGGACUGAGAUACGGCCCAGACUCCUACGGGAGGCAGCAGUGGGGAAUAUUGCACAAUGGGCGGAAGCCUGAUGCAGCAACGCCGCGUGCGGGAUGACGGCCUUCGGGUUGUAAACCGCUUUCGCCUGUGACGAAGCGUGAGUGACGGUAAUGGGUAAAGAAGCACCGGCUAACUACGUGCCAGCAGCCGCGGUGAUACGUAGGGUGCGAGCGUUGUCCGGAUUUAUUGGGCGUAAAGGGCUCGUAGGUGGUUGAUCGCGUCGGAAGUGUAAUCUUGGGGCUUAACCCUGAGCGUGCUUUCGAUACGGGUUGACUUGAGGAAGGUAGGGGAGAAUGGAAUUCCUGGUGGAGCGGUGGAAUGCGCAGAUAUCAGGAGGAACACCAGUGGCGAAGGCGGUUCUCUGGGCCUUUCCUGACGCUGAGGAGCGAAAGCGUGGGAGCGAACAGGCUUAGAUACCCUGGUAGUCCACGCUGUAAACGGUGGGUACUAGGUGUGGGGUCCAUUCCACGGGUUCCGUGCCGUAGCUAACGCUUUAAGUACCCCGCCUGGGGAGUACGGCCGCAAGGCUAAAACUCAAAGGAAUUGACGGGGCCCCGCACAAGCGGCGGAGCAUGCGGAUUAAUUCGAUGCAACGCGUAGAACCUUACCUGGGUUUGACAUGGAUCGGGAGUGCUCAGAGAUGGGUGUGCCUCUUUUGGGGUCGGUUCACAGGUGGUGCAUGCCUGUCGUCAGCUCGUGUCGUGAGAUGUUGGGUUAAGUCCCGCAACGAGCGCAACCCUUGUUCACUGUUGCCAGCACGUUAUGGUGGGGACUCAGUGGAGACCGCCGGGGUCAACUCGGAGGAAGGUGGGGAUGACGUCAAGUCCUCAUGCCCCUUAUGUCCAGGGCUUCACGCAUGCUACAAUGGCUGGUACAGAGAGUGGCGAGCCUGUGAGGGUGAGCGAAUCUCGGAAAGCCGGUCUCAGUUCGGAUUGGGGUCUGCAACUCGACCUCAUGAAGUCGGAGUCGCUAAUAAUCGCAGAUCAGCAACGCUGCGGUGAAUACGUUCCCGGG